UACGUAGGGACCGAGCGUUGUCCGGAAUCAUUGGGCGUAAAGAGCGUGUAGGCGGCCACUUAAGUCCUGCGUGAAAUCUUGCGGCUCAACCGCAAGCGGUCGUGGGAAACUGGGUGGCUAGAGUGCGGGAGAGGAGAGUGGAAUUCCGGGUGUAGCGGUGAAAUGCGCAGAUAUCAGGAGGAACACCGGUGGCGAAGGCGGGUCUCUGGGCCGAUACUGACGCUGAGGAGCGAAAGCGUGGGGAGCGAACAGG
rnacentral:rRNA from 1 species